rnacentral:rRNA from 1 species
CGAAGAACCUNACCUAGACUUGACAUCUCCUGAAUUACUCUUAAUCGAGGAAGCCCUUCGGGGCAGGAAGACAGGUGGUGCAUGGUUGUCGUCAGCUCGUGUCGUGAGAUGUUGGGUUAAGUCCCGCAACGAGCGCAACCCUUAUUGUUAGUUGCUACCAUUUAGUURAGCACUCUAGCGAGACUGCCGUGGUUAACGCGGAGGAAGAUGGGGAUGACGUCAAGUCAUCAUGCCCCUUAUGACCUGGGCUACACACGUGCUACAAUGGCUGGUACAACGCGCAGCAAGCUCGCGAGGGUAAGCUAAUCGCUUAAAACCGGUCUCAGUUCARAUCGGAGUCUGCAACUCGACCCCGUGAAGUUGGAAUCGCUAGUAAUCUCGGGUCAGCAUACCGAGGUGAAUA